ACGAACGCUGGCGGCGUGCCUAAUACAUGCCAGUCGAACGAGAGCGACCGGUGCUUGCACUGGUCAAUCUAGUGGCGAACGGGUGAGUAACACGUGGGUAACCUGCCCAUCAGAGGGGGAUAACAUCCGGAAACGGAUGCUAAAACCGCAUAGGUCUUCGAACCGCAUGGUUUGAAGAGGAAAAGAGGCGCAAGCUUCUGCUGAUGGAUGGACCCGCGGUGCAUUAGCUAGUUGGUGAGGUAACGGCUCACCAAGGCCGUGAUGCAUAGCCGACCUGAGAGGGUGAUCGGCCACAUUGGGACUGAGACACGGCCCAAACUCCUACGGGAGGCAGCAGUAGGGAAUCUUCCGCAAUGGACGCAAGUCUGACGGAGCAACGCCGCGUGAGUGAAGAAGGUUUUCGGAUCGUAAAACUCUGUUGUUAGAGAAGAACAAGUGCUAGAGUAACUGUUAGCGCCUUGACGGUAUCUAACCAGAAAGCCACGGCUAACUACGUG
rnacentral:rRNA from 1 species